rnacentral:rRNA from 1 species
GACGAACGCUGGCGGCGUGCUUAACACAUGCAAGUCGAACGGUAAGGCCUCUUCGGGGGUACACGAGUGGCGAACGGGUGAGUAACACGUGAGUAACCUGCCCUUGACUUUGGGCUAACAUCUGGAAACAGGUGCUAAUACCGGAUAUGAGCUUGUCCUGCAUGGGAUGGGUUGGAAAGCUCCGGCGGUCAUGGAUGGACUCGCGGCCUGGCAGCUUGUUGGUGAGGUAAUGGCUCACCAAAGCUUCGACGGUUAGCCGGCCUGGGAGGGCGACCGGCCACAUUGGGACUGAGACAGGGCCCAAACGCCGACGGGAGGCAGAAGUGGGGAAUAUUGCGCAAUGGGCGGAAGCCUGAUGCAGCAACGCCGCGUGCGGGAUGACGGCCUUCGGGUUGUAACCCGCUUUCAGCAGGGACGAAGCGUGAGUGACGGUACCUGCAGAAGAAGCACCGGCUAACUACGUGCCAGCCGCCGCUGUAAAAC